rnacentral:rRNA from 1 species
UACGUAGGGGGCGAGCGUUGUCCGGAUUUAUUGGGCGUAAAGAGCUCGUAGGCGGUUUGGCAAGUCGGGUGUGAAAACUCCGGGCUCAACUCGGAGACGCCACUCGAUACUGCCAUGACUCGAGUCCGGUAGGGGAGUGCGGAAUUCCUGGUGUAGCGGUGAAAUGCGCAGAUAUCAGGAGGAACACCGGUGGCGAAGGCGGCAUCCUGGACCAACACUGACGCUGAGUGAGCGAAAGCCAGGGGAGCAAACGGG